rnacentral:lncRNA from 1 species
CAGUAGGAAGGUUGAGAACCACCAAUGUAGAUACUCUGACUUGGCCUUAGAAGACGCUGCGGCGGCUGCCUCAUUACCCUGGCCUGCUUCCCUGUUCUUAAAGAUUUCAGAGUUGAGUUACUGUGAGCAGUUGCUCGCUCAGUCACGCUUUUGGGUGAAUUCCCUGUCUGGGAACGUCUCUGAGCCUGUCUCUUUCCAUCUGUCCAGAGGUCGCGGCGUUGACAAGUUCACAGGGCGCUACAAUCUUGUGUUGCUGCUCUGUCACUCUUUGAUACGGUGACCCGGAGCCCUUUAAAUGAAAAGCAGUUGCAGAAUCGGCAGCAAUUUCAAACUUCUGCCAGAACACGCGUCUAUAGGGAGCUGGACCUUGGGGAUGAGGCCAUGUGUCUGGGAAGAGGCCUGGUUUGUGUCCUUGGCUUUGACCACUCUCAGUCUGAAGGCCUUGGCUUCUUGUCUUCCGCAGUAGAACAUAGAUUCUUUAAGGCCUAGAAGCAGAGGCCCAAAGUUCCAUUUUCAGAGUGACUGAAGGUCAAUACCUUGGCAGUGAGGAGCAGCAGCCGUGUAGCUACCAGCAAGGCCUUCACAGAUGACAAGAAUCCACACUCGGAAAGCUAAGCAUAAACAGAAGACACCCAGCAACACACACAUACCUUGGCUGUCAACUGCAAGAGAAGGUUGUAGGACCGGAAACAUUGACAAUGAAAUGAAGAAUUGAAGUAUCCAUUUCCAGCCUGUGCUGAGUAGAACCCAGUCUUCACAUUGUUUUCCCCUCAUUGUGUGUGGCCUCCUAAGUACUUCAAGGAUCAAGACAUACCGAUUCAUUAUUGUGACUGCGAUGUUAUAAGCAAUGGAUAAUGGCGUCAGUAGAUGAAUCGUUGGAGGAGAUGGCCAUUCGAGGAGGAGCAGAAGUCACCUACUGAGAAGCAUGGGUUGGGCAUACGGUACGAAGAUCACGAGUCCACUAGAGAGGGAACGCCAGCUACUCCCUUUUCGCAAAGGAUGAAAAAAAUUGGUGAAUCUCAUCGCUCCAACAAGUACCUUGGGAGGCCAUGGUGGGUGGAGAACACCACACUAGUGUGCAUGCUAAGACAGGGAGAGGAAUGGAUCUAACUCUAGGACAGCGUUACCAUGGUCUUGCUUAUAGUUUAAUGGAGCCAGUGAGGUGGUGCAGCAGACAAAGACACUUGUCGCCAAGCCUGAGGACCUGAAUUCUAUCCCUGAGACUCACGGUAUGCGAAGAGAUCCAACCUUUCAGAGUUGUCCUCUGACAUCCACACAGGCACUGUGGCAUGCCUGUUGUCCCCAUUAAACAAAUAAAUGUACUUGUAGGACCUCAUCCACAGGACUCUGGACUAUGAACUUUUUGGACAACGACAUGGUGUUAUAAUGUCUGGAGGCGGUACAUGCCUCUGGUCUUUGGCUUAUGACACGUGCCACUGCCUACUUUUGUACUUCACUGAGGACCCUGUGAUUGUCUGGAGCAAAGGAGGGCAGCUAGAUGACACUGAGAGAGGAUCUCACCCAAGGGUCUUUCUCUACAUGGGCAACCAUCUCUUCUCAGCCCGCUCAGCAUCACCUUCUAAAACAGCUUCAGAGAGACAUAACUUCUACUCAAGGAUCUCAGACUUUUUUGUUGCUAUUGAUCUUUACAAUGUUCCCCAGAUCCAGGGAGGAG